GCGCGCGUGUUGUCUCACUGCGCGCUCGGAUUGGUUCCUUCGCGCUCAAACCGAUGGCACAAAUAUCUCUCCAUACACCUGAUAGGAGCGCUGGAUGCCGUUGGUGUUCAUGUUGCAAAUGUUCUCAAGCUAAGCUUUGAGCACAAAGAAAGCUUGGAAGAAGAGAAGAGCCAGGAGGCCGAGGAACUGCAGGCCUCUCCAGUUCUGACUGCAGCUGCAGCUGGGAAGGCAGAUAUUUGAUGGCGUCGCCAACCUCAUCUAUGACUCUGUGGAGAUGCGCCGGCAGUAUCAGCACUACAGAGACCAUGUCCAGCUCAUCCAUAUACCCACUGUUGUCACAAUGGAUUCACAGCCUGCAGAGACCCGACUCAGGAAAAGGCAACUAGUCAGAGAUCAGGGCCCACGGAGCGAUUGGACAGAGUUAUUGAGGAGAUUUCAUCCAAUCAUGUACUGAUCACACACCAGGAAACCCAGGAAAAGGCGUCCGCUUCGACAUGAGGGAUCCCACUGUUCUGUAUCCGCAGCAUUGGUGGUUCAGUGGUAGAAUUCUCGCCUGCCACGCGGGAGGCCCGGGUUCGAUUCCCGGCCAAUGCAACAGAUCCUUUUUCUUUUGAGCAGGGGGUCUCAUGUUCCAGCACGUAGGACAGACUAGCACUUUAAAAUCCAUCAAUCCAAUCUAUUCCUGCUAUUUUGGCACCACCAUGGUGCCUCUAAAAGCAGCUUACACAUAGAGCUCCAGCUCUUACGUAAACACCGGGGGAGGGUCGGGAACGCCGCUCUGUGGGCAGACUGCAGGACAGGAAAGCUGUUACUUCCUUUGUUUUUAUCUUUAAGCCUGACGGUGUUAUAAACCUGAUAAGAGGAGAGAAGUUUGUUUUUUUAGUUGCUAGCAACAACCGUUAAACUGAUUCCAGCAGAUCACCAGCUAACGGUUUGCUUUAGAGCAGAUGUGCAUGAGAAAGAAUGUGGGAGUUCCUCCUGAAGCUGAAUCAUAGGUUAGUACCAAUGGAUGUCCACCAGAUGGAGCUAAAUUAAAGUGAAUAAAGUAGAA